AACGAACGCUGGCGGCAGGCUUAACACAUGCAAGUCGAACGCAUCCUUCGGGGUGAGUGGCAGACGGGUGAGUAACGCGUGGGAACGUGCCCUUCAGUUCGGGAUAACCCAGGGAAACUUGGGCUAAUACCGGAUACGUGCGAGAGCAGAAAGAUUUAUCGCUGAAGGAUCGGCCCGCGUCUGAUUAGCUAGUUGGUGGGGUAAUGGCCCACCAAGGCGACGAUCAGUAGCUGGUCUGAGAGGAUGAUCAGCCACAUUGGGGCAGAGACACGGCCCAAACUCCUACGGGAGGCAGCAGUGGGGAAUAUUGGACAAUGGGCGCAAGCCUGAUCCAGCCAUGCCGCGUGAGUGAUGAAGGCCUUAGGGUUGUAAAGCUCUUUCGUCCGGGACGAUAAUGACGGUACCGGAAGAAGAAGCCCCGGCUAACUUCGUGCCAGCCGCCGCAGUAAUAC
rnacentral:rRNA from 1 species